rnacentral:rRNA from 1 species
GACGAACGCUGGCGGCGUGCUUAACACAUGCAAGUCGAACGAAGUGGCGAACGGGUGAGUAACGCGUAAUCAACCUGCCCUUCAGAGGGGGACAACAGUUGGAAACGACUGCUAAUACCGCAAACUGAUGGAGGGGAUUGCGUCUGAUUAGCUAGUUGGGGGGGGAACGGCCCACCAAGGCGAUGAUCAGUAGCCGGUCUGAGAGGGUGAACGGCCACAUGUGGACUGAGACCCGGCCCAAGCUCCUACGGGAGGGAGCAGGGGGGAAUCUUCCGGCAAGGACGAAAGGCUGACGGAGCAACGCCGCGUGAGUGAUGACGGCUUUCGGGUUGUAAAGCUUUGUUUAUCGGGACGCGGUACCUGAAUAGAAAGCCACGGCUAACUACGUGCCAGCAGCCGCGGUAAUAC